CACUCAGUCCACAACCGUUUGCCACGAGACUUCGAUCUCUCCUCGAGACGCACGUCAGAAAACGAACACGUUUAAAAUACCCCUUUUCCCUCUUGUCAUUGGCGAACGAGCUUCCUUCUCGUGCUAGCAAAAACAGCUUUGAGUAGAGAGAAAAAAACGAAGGGAAUAAGGGAGAGAAAGAAAGAGAGAUAAAGGAGGCGGCGGUCAAGUUUGUUAAAAACGUACCGGACGUACGAAAUCGAGAAUAUUUGAAAAUAAUAAGAAACAAAAAAAUACAUGAUCACAGAUGUACUAACAAAUUUAUGUGUACACAUAAAAAAACAAUAAAACAAAAGUUCCAGGUGAAAACGAACGAGAGACUUUGAAAACACCGAUACUGGCGUGAACAGUUUUUUGAAUAACGAACGAGUAAACACACGAGCCGAACCAACGACGGGCUGCUCAACUCGUACAAGAGAACCCACCAAACGUAGAAGACAGUUCCGCAAGGAAGAGGAAAACCAAGGAAGGAGACCCAUCUUUUGCUGUUUGCUGCACAGUUGUUGUCACAGCGUAUCAAGGUAGUACCAAUGUUGUCACUUGUCCAGUCCUACACCGAAAUUUUUGCGACCUAAAGACAGACGGUGAACUUCAUCGGGUUGAGUAAUUAGUGCGAAGAGUAAGAACAUCGUUGCAGCUCUCAUAAACCAGCAGGAAAAUGGCGG